AAGAACUUGCCACACUUGCAUAACCACAGCAACAAUGAUCUCAGGAGGAUGCUGCAUGGGAAAACACGGAAACGUCUGGAGGUUCAGAGUUCCACAUGCACACGUUUCAGUUCAAGUAGUUAAAAGUUGUGCUUAUGAACAAAAUGGCAGUGCCUCAUCACUUGCUGACCUAAAGACUUGGAAUUGUGACAAUCUACUCCAUCUACAGCACUGUAACAUUGUCAGAAACAUACCCAAAGGUCUUCCCUCUGAGCAGAGCAGAGGUUUAGAAGGCAGAAGAGCUGAUAAGCCUUCGGGGCAUGGAAAAUUAUCUACAUUCAGAGAGACCGCAAACUGUCAAACUCUGGCAGUUGCUAUGUAGAGAAAGAGGUUGCAUUUGGUUUUUGAGCUCCUAGUGAAAUGCAAGAGCUAAAGUUGGAUACAGAAAGGAUCACCAGGCACACCCAGCCAGGAACAGCCUGACUGCUGCUGCUCAGUGCCCAAGUGCAGCUUUGGUGGAUGCUUGCAGUGAGGACUCGCUCUGUCAACACAGUUCCUGAACAAACUGAUUCAGUGGAAUCCAGUUGUUUUUCUAAGCUUCACUUCUGUCUUGGAAAAGCAGAUGAUGGUGACACUAUUGGGAAAAGUUUUCCAGUUCAGUUCAAGAGGAAAGAGCCCUACAUACCCAACAGAGGACAACUCAGUUAGGAUGCACAUAAGGACAGAAACAACCUGGAUAUAAAUCCCUUCCCCACUGAACUCAGAAGCAUGACCUCACUAGCCUUCUAGUGAAGAGAGGAACUGCAUGUUAGUUCUGCAACAGAAAGAAUGGCAGUGGUUGGAAGGGACCCCAAGAUCAUUGACUCCAACCCCCUGCUAGAGCAGGUUCCCUACAGCAAGUCGCACAGACAAGAAAAGAGCUAGGAAAUUCUUUGAGAACCACUAGAAAGACUUCAGACACCACCCACCGCCCCAGAGUGCUCCAUAUCUGAGAUUUAACUGUUGAUCAAUUAUUAUGGAUAUUGCUGUAGAAUCCCCACUUCAGCAUUUCUCAACAGUUUUGGACAAAAACAGGCAGUGUCUGUUCAUGGUUGGAAAGGCAUUAAGUCAGUGUUGCCAUUCCAGACAGCACUGCAUGCCUCCACAUCAGCAAGCACACAAAACUCAGACCUAAGGAGUAUUCUCUGUAUGACUUGAAGUCCAGCACAACGUGUGUACAGGCCAGGUGAAAACAGAUUACAUGAGAUUUUAAUUACCCAAAGUAAGGAAAGUUUCACCUUACUGGUGCUUGAGGUUUUGAAGAAGCUUCAGAAAACAAAACAAUGGUUACAAAAGACAGCAGAAUCUCUGCGUGCUCCUCUGGCUUCAAGUGACAGAACAGUAUUUACAACUUUCCACUAGAAAAUGAGUGAGGCAUCAUACACAGCAAUCAGAGCAAAUGCAUUGUGACACAUAUCAAGACCUUAUCCCCACUGUAACUAACCAGAGGGGAGCUCAAGGGCACACAUUUAGAAACCAGACAGUCCAUAGAGUUUUGUUACUACUCCCCAAGAACAAAAGGGAAAAACCUAUCUCAUAUUCUAAGGCUAGUUAUGAUGAAGAUGUAGUGUCUGACAUCAUUCAAAUACCUCAAACUUACUCCAGUAAGUAUAUAAGCAAAAAGAAUAAAACACAGAACACUGAUUUUACAGUUUAACGUACCAUAGGCAUCUAAAUUCAACAAUUGCAAUCACUCCUAGUAAUGUACAUGUGAAGAGGAAUUUAAGGCAUCCAACACUUUCAAAGAAUCUUCUAACAGAGACCUAUAAAAUGCCAAGUUAUGCCAUAGCUAAGUAAUUUUAUGCAUUAAGGUGAUGUGCUUUGAAGAAAAUCCAGGAAAUCUGCAUGACAAUACCUGAGCUGCAGAAUUAUGAGUAGAAUGCUUCCUGUUCCCCAGCCUCCCCUCAAAACAUGAAUGCUUUCAGUGAAAUGCAGGUUUAUGCUACGCCACUUUGACCUUUGCAGUAUAUUUGAGCAAAUGGGCAUUCCAUCCGUUUCCCAGAGGCUAGUCAGACUGUAAACAGCAGAAAACGAGGAAUUGCAGCCAAUCUAAUUACAGAAUAUUGAAAAGGUCAAAGAAGUGCACCAAACCAGUAUAAUUUUCAAAAUGAAAGUUGUCAAGAGCUCUUGGAUAAAAAGAAGCACAAUGGAAAUAAAGUAUGCCAUCAGUAUUGACGCUCUGGCCUGGGGAAGGGGGCAACCCAAGGUUCCUACCAGGAGCUGGAAAAUGUAAACCCAUUUCUAUGUAGCAGGCUAACAUGGGUUGCAAAAUGCCAAGCAACAACUGUCUACAAGUAGUUUUUAAUAAUACCCCAGUUCUCUUAGGGUAGAAUUUAAUUGAACCCAUGUUAGGGGGCAAAAAAAGCAGUGGUGCAACUACUGAACCAUUGCCACUGUAUGGCCACAAUAUGGCCAAUAUUCCCCACACAGGCUUACACACACCGUGAAAAAGAGAUAUCAGCCACACAUAGCUGUCAUAUCCAUAGAACUGCUGCCUCAGAGCAAGCUGGGCAUUUAGUUAGUUAACUGUUUUACAAGGACUCCAAAAGCAGAACAGUAACUCAAGAUCAAACUAUUGGAAUAAUAUCCACAAAAAUCUAUCAUCUCCCUUCCAAAGGUAUACUUAGAAAGACCACAGUCAAGCAGAUAUAUCAGGAGGAACUAAUAUAUACCUGUAAAACAAUGGUACAUAAGUGUGCUACGCAUACCUCUUGGUAAUACAUUUCAGCUAAUAAGAACAAAUAUGUGCUCUGAAAUGAAGGCACUGGGAGAAGAAGAGCAAGGCAAGUAAAAUAAAGAAGCCUGUAUUCCCUCUCAAAGAGAAGAGGACUGCUCUGUAAGGCUCUGGGAAGGACAGAGCAAUUCAAAAAGGCUUAGAGCAGACAGAUGUUGCCUUGAGAGAUGGCAGGAUCCAAAUUUACUGGCUAAAUUAGCAUCAAAGAAGAGAAAAGGAGAAGAGACACAUCCCUGGGGCAAUACUGGCCACUCAACACAGGGCAGGACGGGGCCCUACAGCACAUGGCACUGGGCAUGCACUCCCUGACCACUCAGGUCCCCAUGACAUGGGGUGUGCUACAGCAAGCAUGCCAGUGGUGCCAGCGCCAGUGGUGCCAGCUUGCUGCAUUGCUGGGAAACAAAGAGCCACCAGCUGCAAGGCUGCAUGUACUUGAUGUUACCCCUUUGCUCCCAGAAGCAUUUAACAAUGCAGGCAUUACUUAAACCUGAGCAUCACAAGCCAGCAAAGGGACCCCUUCAACAUUCUGGCUGCGACAGGGGAAGGAAAUGACAAAGGCCAUCUCUGAAGGAAACACCAUCUCUUCUACCUGAGGAAGUCUCACUAUCCAGAAUCAGCAUGGCAGCUUUAAUUCACAGAAAGUGAAUCUGAAAAGCUACAGAACAAAACCAUCAGUGCACACUCUGAGCUCAUCCCAAUAAUAGAGGCUGAGCUGACGUUAUUGCUACCACAGCUAGUGCUGUUCUGCUGAUACUUUCCAGAGGAGUAAUUCUCUAGUAAAUGUCUCCAAUCAGGAUCGAUCUGUGCCACACAUACUGGAUAAUUCAGAAAAAAAACACACUAAACUGUAUCUGGCCGCAGCCCUCGCCCCCACUGUUUGUCAGUUCUCAAAACAUUUCUCACUCAGAUCCCAGCAAUCAUGAUGAAAAGACUCAUCCAUCUUUAUUACUUCAAAGGGAAUAUAUUACCAUCUAAAGUGUCACUUAAUUUUCUACACCAACUACGUAUUUUCUAGUGGACAAUUUACAUGGAAAUCGUACCCACGGCACAGAGAAAAGAUGAUUAAUGGUCAAUCAAAUAUAAGUUUCACUGUAACAAAUAUUUUGUUAUCACCAGUCACUAUGAUUUAUUGUGAUCUAUAAAGCCUACUCUCAAAAAAAAUGACCAUCUCUAAAAUGAAUUUGUGUGUUCCUCCCAGGAAAAUUCUAUUUUUGACCAUUUUCAAAACAUACGAAAAUAGCAUUAUGAGAUAUGUCACAAAUCAUGCACACCUUCCUAUCAGCCAUUCUGGCCCAGCUGUGGGUUCUGAUACAGCCCAUAUGAAACAGCUUGCAAGGGUGGUUCCAUUUAUCUUGGUUUCAUUGUUCAAGCUCAGCUAGAAAGGAACAAUUCUCCUGCAGCCUUGGCCCAAUCCCCAGGAGGGUGCAGGUCCCAGCUCCGCCAGCCACCUCCUUCCAUCAGCAUUAAUGGCUCCAUUAUGAGCACACCACAGUCACUGCCCAAGGACAUGCAAGAACCCUACAGUGUAGUGGAUCCCUUGGUCUCUCCCAUCAGUGACGACUCAUCAGCUUCUAACAGGGAAACCAACAGCAUUAGAGGUGGUGCCACGCGCCUUACAAUCCUAGUCCUCACCCUUUCUCUGGCUCUCCUUUUCCUGCGCACUGUUGCAGAACAGCCCCCGCCCCACACUAACCUGGGAGAGAGAAAUAAAAUUACAUGCAAUGGUCAUUUUUUUUUUUAAAUAAGAACUCCACUAUAAAGUCCCUAUGGAUUGUUCAAAGUAAUGUAGCAUACAAAAAUAUUGCAAGAACAUACAGCUGUCCUGAAAACUAUUUCUUGGCUCUAAAAAUGCACUCUCUGCAAAAAAUAAUUAUUAUUAUUAUUUUAUAAACAAAACUUUCCAUAAAUACGCUCUAUAAACUGCCUGGCAAGAAGGGCAGGAGGAGUUUUCAGGGCCAAGACUCUACAAAAGAAUAACAGCUAAAGAACAAACUAAACACUUUCCAUAUGGCAAAUGAUGCCAAAAGCUACUCCCAUUAGAAAGGAAGCCAACAACACCAACUAUACCAUGUCUCUUUACUGCAACUUCUUUGAAUUUAUUAAGGAUGUGCAAGCAGGUUGUGAGACCAGCUGAGCUCUGCCCAUCCCCAGCAGCAGCACUCUCCAAGGAAGGCUGCACGACAGCACUACAUUCACCUAGGGCAUAGUGGGGGCUCAGCUGUUGCCUCUAGAGGACUUAUCUGUGCAGAAUUAGCGCUCCACCUUACCAUGCAGCAUUUCUAAGUGCAGCCUUGAAAUAACAUUCGUUUUGUUACACGAUUCCUAGCAGAAGUUCUUCUACAGGGAGACAUUCUUGGGAAGACAAAAUCCCUUCCUCUUGACCACCGUGCUGGUAAUACAGAGAUGCAAAAUGUCUCAAAAGAAGCAUGACAAAGCCACAGCUGCCAUCCCUCAUCCAUCAAUCUCUGUUUAAAUAGAGGCUGAAAGCUUUUUGAACAUAGGGUACAAAAAAUAACUCAGUCUUACUGGGAAAGCCCAGAUUGUCAUGCAGAAGCUGCUGUGGUACAGCUGAGGGCCUGCUGCAGUGUGUGGGCAGACUGCAGCUCCAGAG